CAAGUUGAGGAGUUAUUGGCAAAAAGGCAUGUGAGAGAGAGCAUGAGUCCAUGUGCAAUUUCAGUGCUAUUAGUGCAUAAGAAUGAUGGUUCUUGAAGGAUGUGUAUUGACUGUCGAGCUGUCAACAAGAUUACGUUAAAGUAUAGACAUCCCAUUCCUAGGCUAGAUGACAUUUUAGAUGAAUUGCAAGGUGCUUGUGUCUUUUCGAAAAUUGAUUUGAAAAGUAGAUACCACUAGAUUAGGAUGAAUGUAAGAGAUGAGGGGAAAACUGCUUUCAAAACAAAAU
rnacentral:misc_RNA from 1 species